rnacentral:rRNA from 1 species
GACGAACCACACGAACGUUAUUCGGAAUUACUGGGCUUAAAGGGUGCGUAGGCUGCGCGGACAGUUGGGUGUGAAAUCCCUCGGCUUAACCGGGGAAUGGCGCCCUAAACUGUCGGGCUGGAGUGAGAUAGGGGUGUGCGGAACUUCCGGUGGAGCGGUGAAAUGUGUUGAUAUCGGAAGGAACGCCGGUGGCGAAAGCGGCACACUGGAUCUCAACUGACGCUGAGGCACGAAAGCCAGGGGAGCGAACGGG